CAUUCUCCCGCCUCUUUUUUUUUUUUUUUUUAACUUUUUGGGCCGAACGUGGCCAUCGAGAAAGUGCAACGUGUUCAGUUAGCGUUUGGGACGAAUGGACCACGGCUGCAGCUUGAAGGCAUCUUUUCGCUUCAUUGAAGACUUGAUGGGACCGAGGCCUCAGGAGGACAAGGAGUGUAACGAAGGCGGCCACAGUGACCUCAGGGUCCUUCCUCCCGUCGAAGGCCUCGUCACCCCCCCGCCUGCCCAGUGUUCAGACUACCUGUUCAUCCGGCUAAAGCUGAACAGUAGUCUGCACAUUGGUUAGGCUGGGCUGGGACACACACACGCGCACACAUCUUACCUCCUCGUCUUUGUACCAGGACAAGGCCUCUGCUGUAAGGAUGAACCAGUACUCCUUGGAGCCCCCCUUCAUGAUGCUGAUGUUGAUCGUUAGCCAGCCUUUCCUGAUCACCUGAUCAGGGGAAUAGGUAAAAAGAAGAUUGUCAGGGUGGAAGAAAACGGCUUUGUAACGUGAGGAGCCUGACUGCAUGAUUGGUCCUAAGAUGUGAAUGACACUAAUAAAAGCUUACCGACUUA